rnacentral:rRNA from 1 species
UACGUAGGGUGCGAGCGUUAAUCGGAAUUACUGGGCGUAAAGUGUGCGCAGGCGGCCGAGCAAGUCGAGUGUGAAAGCCCCGGGCUUAACUUGGGAAUUGCGCUCGAAACUACUUGGCUGGAGUGUGGCAGAGGAAGGUGGAAUUCCGAGGUGUAGCGGUGAAAUGCGCAGAUAUCAGGAGGAACACCAAUGGCGAAGGCAGCUCGCUGGGACGUGACUGACGCUGAGACGCGAAAGCGUGGGGAGCAAACAGG